rnacentral:rRNA from 1 species
UACGUAGGUGGCAAGCGUUGUCCGGAAUUAUUGGGCGUAAAGCGCGCGCAGGCGGCCUCUUAAGUCUGAUGUGAAAGCCCCCGGCUCAACCGGGGAGGGCCAUUGGAAACUGGGAGGCUUGAGUAUAGGAGAGAAGAGUGGAAUUCCACGUGUAGCGGUGAAAUGCGUAGAGAUGUGGAGGAACACCAGUGGCGAAGGCGACUCUUUGGCCUAUAACUGACGCUGAGGCGCGAAAAGCGUGGGGGAGCAAACAAGG